CUGGCUCAGGAUGAACGCUAGCUACAGGCUUAACACAUGCAAGUCGCGGGGCAGCAUGACGAUUGCUUGCAAUUGUUGAUGGCGACCGGCGCACGGGUGAGUAACGCGUAUCCAACCUUCCCCAUAGUAGGGUAUAGCUUGGCGAAAGUCGGAUUAAUCCCCUAUGUUGUUUGAAGCGGACAUCUAAUUCAAACCAAAGAUUUAUCGCUAUGGGAUGGGGAUGCGUCUGAUUAGGUUGCAGGCGGGGUAACGGCCCACCUGGCCGACGAUCAGUAGGGGUUCUGAGAGGAAGGUCCCCCACACUGGUACUGAGACGCGGACCAGACUCCUACGGGAGGCAGCAGUGAGGAAUAUUGGUCAAUGGGCGCGAGCCUGAACCAGCCAAGUAGCGUGCAGGAAUGACGGCCCUACGGGUUGUAAACUGCUUUUAUGCGGGGAUAAAGUGCGGCACGUGUGCCGUUUUGCAGGUACCGCAUGAAUAAGGACCGGCUAAUUCCGUGCCAGCAGCUGC
rnacentral:rRNA from 1 species